rnacentral:lncRNA from 10 species
GGCCAGAUAAGAGAAUAAAAGCAGGCUGCCCGAGCCAGCAUUGACAACUCGCGGGGAUUGUUUUCCACACCGUGGAAGCUUUGUUCUUUUCGUUUUUUGCAAUAAAUCUUGUUGCUGCUCGCUUUUUGGGUCCACAUUGCUUUUAUGAGCUGUACCACUCACCGUGAAGAUCUGCAGCUUCACUUCAGAGCCUAGCGAGACCACAAGCUCACUGAGAGGAACAAACAACUCCAGACGCGCUGUCUUAAGAGCUAUAACACUCACCGCGAAGGUGUGCAGUUUCACUCCUGAGCUAGUGAGACUACGAAGCCACUGGAACGAAGAAACUCCAACCACGUUUGAACAUCAGAAGGGGCAGACUCCAGACGCUUCAUCUUAAGAGCUGUAACACUCACUGUGAAGGUCUGCAGCUUCACUCCUGAGCCAGCGAGACCACGAACCGAUCUGAACAUCAGAAGGGACAGACUCCAGAUGCCCCACCUUAAGAGCUGUAAUACUCACUGCAAGGGUCUGCAGCUUCAUUCUUGAAGUCAGACCAAGAACCCAGCAAUUCCCAACACACAGGGACCAGCUUCUUUCCUAACUCACUUAGGCUCUUCGUGCUGCUCUGGCAACUAACACCCUUGGCUGCAGGGGCUUGGACACUACCCUUAGUCACUGACAAUUGUGUGAAGGCUGCUGUCGUUAACUUCACUUGAUCACCUUAGGCUCCUGUGAAGUGGUGAGCAAUUCAAACAAAUUCCUGUCGUCAAAUCAUGAGUCCACCUGUCCCGAGUUGGAAGUCUGAACUCAUGUUCCUGGAUUCCUCCCAUGCAUCUUGGUGCUGGUGUGGGGCCUGAACUCAGCCAAUCCGCAACACCUCCAGGAGUCUUCCUCUUAGAUGCUGAGGCCACGGAGAAGGAAGCAGCACAAAGAAUGAACCCUGGAGAGGGUGCCAGAGGCAGGCGGGUUCCAGCCAUGUGGCGGCACAGCCUUACUGGGAUAGUCUAGCUGUGUCACUCAGAAUCCUGAUUUUGUUUGGAAGGACAGCGUGCCUGGUUCCAGAUGGAGAAAUUGCACUGCAGAGAAAUCUUUAAAAGCAAUUACCUAAUACUGCAGAUUGCUGAACUGUACCCACACCCAAGACUGAGCAUUGGAUCAAUCCAGAAUAUACAUCAGGUGUUCUGCAAUGUCUGCCUAAAACCAUGACUCUGCCUCCUCCAGCUGUUGCUACAUCUCACUAUGGGUUUCCUGUGACAUUUUGAGCAAGUAUGCCUCUGUGACUGGGGUUCUUACACUCCAGAAUGGAUGAGAAGCACCGUAAGUGGCUUUUAAAAUGAAUAUUCCCUGGCCCUUCAGUCGCUCUAUAGGUCAAGAAUCUGAAUUCUCAACCUGUCUAGAAGGUUCUGGUUUUAAUGGUCUGUGGGCUGCACAUUGAGAAACCUGUUCAGCGAGUGCAACAAAGGUUCCACAUGUGAGAAAGGAAGCAUCAGGUCUCUUGAGCCUGUUCUUUAAUCUGUAGGCUGCACCUUCUCUUUAAAUUCUGCUAAUAACACCAUGCGAGAAAACACCCGAGCUUGAAAAGCCCAUGUUCCAACAUAACUGUCCUUCACCACUCUGGAAAAUUAAUGGUUUGUUUCGAUUAUCCCUUUGUUAAACUCCAAAGUCAAAGAGCUCUGAAAGGCAUACGGUUAUUUUAAGUUUCAGGUGAUUUCUGUUGCCAAAUAUUUUAAAAAUUUAAAAUUGCUACGUGACCUCUUAGUAGUACUAUUAGAUUUCCUGACAAUAAAAAUAAGUCUUUUGGUUUCACCAUUUAUAGUUAGUACAGCUAAUAUUAAGUAUAAUUUUAAAAGCCUUUUAUUUUCUCAGAAAGAAAAAAUAAUCAAAAUCUGCUCAGUGUGGUAUUGAAUAAUUAAAAACAAAAGAACAGUAUCUUCACAUUAGUGUUUAAUAUUAAUUGCUUUUUUACCCUUGACACUGGUGCUAAUUAAAUUUUCAUUUUAUUUUCCAUGACUUGUUUAAACAGUUUUUGCAAAUUAUUGCUAAUCAGCCUAAUAAAACUGAAUCACCUAUUAAACAAUUUUGUUUUGAAUUAAAUGGCAUUAAAAUAAUUCUGGCUGCCUUGUGUUAUAAUGUGUUACAAGAAUACCAACCGCUACAGGUAAUAUGCCUUAGCUUUUACACAUGCUUUAAAUAAAUCUACGGAUGUAUUUACCUACAUGCACAAACAUGCAAAGAGGCAGUGUUGGUUAGUUGAAUGGGUUUCCGGCUGGAUUUAUUUCCCGUCUACUGUCUUCUCAAGAGGAAAUCUAAGGCAAAUCUCUUCAACAACCUGAAACUUGGUUUUCAUCAUCAGCAAAAUAAGG